rnacentral:rRNA from 1 species
UACGGGGGGAGCAAGCGUUGUUCGGAUUUACUGGGCGUAAAGGGCGCGUAGGCGGCCACCGCAAGUCAAUUGUGAAAUCUCCGGGCUUAACUCGGAACGGUCAGGUGAAACUGCUUUGCUAGAGUGCGGAAGGGGCAAUCGGAAUUCUCGGUGUAGCGGUGAAAUGCGUAGAUAUCGAGAGGAACACCUGAGGUGAAGACGGGUUGCUGGGCCGACACUGACGCUGAAGCGCGAAAGCCAGGGGAGCAAACGGG